CAAAGGUGAAUAAAAGGGCAGGUUCACCUCUCAGAACCUGUUGGCAACAUGCCUCCUGAUACAGUCCAGGAGGUUGGUCCACUAGAACCCCAAGGGCCUUUUUUGCAAAACUGAUUUCCAGUUAGCAUCAGUUGGUCCAUGGGAUUCAUCAUCCCUGGAUGAUGAAUUUGGCAUUUGUCUUUGUUAAACUGCACAAAUUUCUGGUUAGCCCAUAAAAGCAGAAAGAUAAAAGCAGAAAGACCUAUUGCUUAGUCUUCCAAGACAGAGAACAAGGAUCAGCUUUGGAAACAUUCCAGUUUGUACAGUUGUUUUGAAUCAAGUGGCUCUAAAAUAAAGCAAGAUCCAUAAGUACAGCAGAGAGCAGAGUUGAAGUCCCCCUGCUGUCCAUUUCUAGGAAGGCUCCUUAUCCUGAAAGGGAAAAAAUGUGUUUGCAUAAAAGCAGCAUAUUUAAAGCAUAUAUAUAAAUACCUUAUGAGGACUAUGCUUUCAAUGGAUAAAUACUGAAAAACAGGUGCUGUAUCUAAUUUUUAAAUACUUAUGAAAAUUUUGGGGAUAAAAAAGUAAUUCACAAGUAAAAGUGUUAGGCUUUUCACUUAAUUAAUUUUCCAAGGACACAGUUUUACAGGUUAAUAACAAAACAGGCCUUUAGUCUUCACUGGACAACUAGAUACCAAGACUGGGAAUAUUUAGGAGUGGUUAAAGCAAUAUGCUCUUUCAAAAAGUCCUGAAGUAGUACUUAAGAUUGUAUUGAGUACAAGAACUUAGUCUUCAGACUAAUUUUCAAGUAUCUAAAAUAAGCUGUUUUACAUUUCUAGUAAUCUAAUAAUAGGUCAUAUCUUAAGAACAGCAUAGCUGAAAUCUGAUCCACUCACUAGAGAUCGUGAGAGAUAUUAUCUCUAUCUACAAAUUUUUGCCUAACUUAUUUAUAUAACAAAAUUAAGCAAAUUUUAAUGAUACUAUGUAUGAUAUAAUAAUUGUAUUUUGUCACCCUUGCAUUUUUCUCUUUCAAAUAAGCAUGUUCUCAAUUCUGUACACUUAGCAUAGUAACACUGAGUCAUGAAUCACAAAAAAUAAAGUGUAUAGCAAAAAAGAAUACCUGUUGUUCUUUACUAAAGAACAUUGUUUCUCUAGUGAAAUAAUGUUCACUGGAGAAACAUGUACAGAAUAACCAGGUUUCACUUAAUAAUAAAUUAUAGCUUGCUUGCUUCCAUACUUAUUAUUUUCCUGUAUUAUGCUAAGAAUUUUACUUGAUAACCUAAAUACAACAUGGAGGAGGAAGGGUUGAAGAUAUUUCUUAUUGUAAAAUAGCAGUGUUGCUAUACUUCAAGAGGGUGAAAAUAUCUCACAUUGUUAACAAAGUGAUUGUCUUGAAGAACUUUGAUCUACUUUCUGCCAAUUAAUAAAAUGUUGCCCAAACUAUUUUAACUCCAGUUUUGUUGGAACAUUUAAGGGUUUGAAGUUCCAUUCAUUGAUCUUGGGCUCUUAAUCUGUUUUAGAAACUAAAUCAAAAUUCAGUUAGGUAGACAAUGAAUCAUGGUAGAGAGUGCAAAGAGAAAGAGAAGACAUUUGGAGGAUAUGCAAAGCCCUUAUCUGUUCUUACAAGAAGCGUUGGCAAAUUAUUUUACAAAAACUGAGAGUGCAGAACAAAAAUGACAGUGAAAUGCAGGUUCUUGGUGCUGAAAGAAAUAAAUUACAGUCACGUGAAGACUUAAAUUAUGUUUCAUGAUUUGAAAAGAUUUACUAAGGAUGUAAAAUGCAUGAGCCUUGCAAUACUUAAAAUACAUGCAAAGCAUACCAAGAGAAAUCAGAGUAACUACAAACUCUACAUAUGAAAUGUAUACUGCAGAAGAACUUCAUGAUGCACGUACCAUACUAAAUCUCAUUUAGUUUUAGAAGUGCUUGGAGAAUGUGACUCACUGGUCUUCCAUUAACUAUGUAUGUGAGGAAGAGUAUUGUGGGAAAAUGUGCAUGGGAUAGUCUGCAUUCAGUCUUCUGAUCAAAUUGAUGUUAUUCAUCUUUCAAGAAACUAAUGGUAGACUGUACUACCAGGAAUGCCUUCAUAUGUUCGCAUUCACCUUUUUUAAGGAUCAAAUAGAAUCAUAGAAUCUGACCGCUGUAGCAUACCUUGGGCAUGCAAGAAGUUUUUAUUAUAAAGUAAGACAGAGGCUUGCAAAUGACUACAGUGCAUCUCCUUAAAAUCCGAUGCUAAAUCUGAACUGAAAUACUUGAGAUGAGAUUGAUAUUAUAUUACCUCCACAGAUUGGCCAGUCACCUUGAACAUUAAAAUUUAUGACUUAUUUUUAUCUGAGUCUGUUUGGCUGAGUUCUCAGAUACUGGCUGUUGUUGCAUCUUCACUUAUUAAAGAUCUCCUUAGCACCUAGGAUACUGUAGUUACUGAUAAACUACAAAAAUAAAAUCCUGGAAUAAAAUAUAAAUUGAAGUUGAAGUCAACAAAUCUCAUUCUUCCCCAGACAAGGCUAAACAACAAGUAUGAUUUUCCUAAGAGGUGAUAAUAAGGUUCUUUAUGAUUAGAAGUUAGGGAGCUUCAGUGAUAGGAGAUUUCAAAGCCUAUGUCAGUAGAGUACUGAAUACAGUAUUCAAAAUGCAGGAGAACAUCAGUUUAGGUAAUAACAUACAUGUUUCCUGCUUUGCUAUUUGUUACUUUUCUAACAGUACCUACUAUAUAUUUACUUUUUAAAAUUUUUGGACAAUUAACCUGAAUUUUGCACAUAAAUAACUUGCAGUCUUAAGAUCUUAUUCCAGGUCAACUGUGAGCUUACUUCAUUUUAACAUGAAGUAAGAUUUCUUUUCCCCGUAUGUAUCGCUUAACAUAUGCUACUGGAUUUCAUAGCUUCUCAGGUAGCUGGAGGAGAUCUGCAGAUCCUGUGCCUUGGCUGUUACAGAUACUCUGCAGCUUCUUUGUUUAUGCUGUUAAGUCUAUGGUUAUGUAACUGAAGACCGCUUUAAUUGCUUUAAAGCAGAUGUUAUUGACAAUAAUAUUGAUGGCAGUAGAACUGAUAGACAGUAGCAUCGUUUACAUUCUUAAUUUAGGAGUUAUCUAAAUACUGUGAGACUUUAAGAAUAAAUUAUUCUUUACUUGUCAGAUGUGAAAACUUUAGUACGCACCUGCAGCAUACUGAAAUGCAAGCAGAAAUCUGCCUUCUGAAAGAAGAGCAAAAAGGUAGUUGGUAUAGUGUCAGCCUUAAAAGGGACUUUGUUGAAGUUACACAGCUAUUUUGCCAUGAUAAGAGGCCAGCAAUCAAAGGCCUCUAAUUACUGGAAAGCGACUUGAUUUCUGCAAAGAGAGAUUUGAUGUCAGUUGUUUGACAAAGAAAUAUGAUUGAUGUCUGAUGGAUGGAAUCAAUGGAUGUGUGAAUGAAGAGCCAGUCAGAUAUUUGUUGGAAAUUCAGGUUUCCUUUUCCAGAUAUUGUUCAUUAAAAUACAUAGGAGUCAGAUUCAAAUCCUGACAACGGGAUCGCUGGGCGAUGCCUUUAUGUUGAUCAGGACUUGAAACAUGAAUUUUAUUUGACAUACCAUAUAUUGUGAUAGAAUUAUAUUUAGAGUUAAUUCAUUAAAUUUUCACAAAAAAUCCCUUAAGAAUAACCAUGACAGAUUGUCUGUAAUGGCUUAUAAAUAUAGUUUCAUUAAUAAUUCUAUUCUGAAAAGAAAAUUAAAUAACAUUGCAGUUACAUUUGCUUCAAAGAUUACAAAUACUUGCUUUUGAACGCCUCUGGUAUCACUGUGAAGGAAAAGUAGUUUGAGUUUUUUUCCUGCUCUAGCUUUGAACCUACAAGUAUAGUACUCCAGCAAAGUUCAAUUUAUGUUGUCUCCUCUGGUAUAGAAAAAAACAGGAGGUUUUGCAACAUAUGUAAUUGUGUUCAGGUUAUAUCUUUUUUCUAAUUUGUCAUAGAAAGGAUAGGUAUUUGUGCUACUGUCAUGUUCAUGCACUUGAAUGUGUGAAGACUUUGAAGUCCAGGAUCUGUAUCUUUUCAUCUGAGAUGCCGUAAACAGAAGUUCCAUCCAUCUGAAGAAAAUGAAAUUUUGAAGUUUAGCAUGCAUCUCAAAUGAAAGAAACCCAGAUGUUUUAAGAUACAGAUUGAUGUGACUCCCUGUGUCAAUUUGGAUUCAUUGCUAUAGUACUAGUCCAUGACUCUCUGAUGUUUAGACAGUUUGUAGUUUUUGAUGGCUAGCUGCAAAUUCUGAGAGUCCACUCAAGGUGAGAAAAAUAUACUGUUCUCCCACAGAUCUUACAAUUCCCUAGUUGUAGAUUUUGAUGACUGGAGAUCUGUCUGAGCUGUGAUAAAAUCUUUGAGUAAGUUGUAUCAUUAGAUCAUCUAGUCAAACAUUAUGUAUUUACCUCUACAUGGAGUUUAAUAGGUAAAAUUUGACUACUGUUUUUUUAUUGAGUUUUCAGUAGGAGAUGAUGAAACCAUGACUUUAUUUGAUAAUUUGAUCCAGUGGGUGAUCCUUAAUGCAUGUGAACAUCUUUUCUGGUAGAUUAAAGAGUCCUUUAACGUUCAGUAUUUUCUCCACAUAAUAUUCUCUUUAUGAGUGUAAUGAUACAAUUCUCAGAAAUGGUUUUGGUAAGCAAAGCUACUGUCUUACGUGCCUUGUAAAAUAUUUUAUCCAAUCCACAAAUAGUUUUACUGGUUCUUUCAUACAGUAUCUCUUUCUUAAGCAGGAAAGUAAAAGUUUAUUGUUAAAAAAAUACAUAUAAUUUUAUGAUAUCAUUCACUUUAAUGACACAUACAGAAGCUAAAUUUUUUCUAUACUUCUCUUGCAUUCUUUGUUAGUACUUGUUUGCAUAUAUCUGGACUUUUUCAUGAACCUGCAUGUGAUCUUUUAUUGCAUGUUUUUGUUAGAGGAUUAGCUGAGUAUGAUGAGGGGUGACUGCACUUCUUCCUUCACAGUUUCCCCAAGUUAUUUUUGUUUCCAGGACAUCAAGGUUUCACCCACUGCUAAGUGAAACUUUUGGAGAACUUAGAAAAGCGAUGAUCUUAAAUACCUACAGUGUACGGAUAAUGUCACUCUGAUCCUGAAAGUAUGCAAGACAGAACUGAUACUAAGAAAAUAGUAAAGAAGGAAGGCUGAAAACAAGUAUGGCUAAGUUACAUACAAAUAAAAUUGUUAACCUCUUUGUCCAAUAAACUGCAUUUUUACUAUAAGCAAUAUACCUUAAGCUCCCUAAAAAACAUGGAGACUGUAUGGCAUUAUGGAAAACUAUGAGCUUUAUGUGUUCAAAGUAAAUUCAAGAUGGGGUAACUGCAUCUUCUCGCUGCCUUUAUGGAUGAUGACUCCCAUUUUUGCUUCCUGGUGUGAGAUAUGAGGUGGACUUGCUUUUUCCUCUGUAUUCUUCCAAUGAGGAGAGAAUGGGGAGAAUUCCCUAUUUUUUUCCAGUAUUUCCAAGUUUGAAGAAGAACUAGCAAAAGAAGGGGAUCUACAUUCUCUUUUCUAGUAAGCCUGAAGAAGGUUUAAGGCCUCCCUGUCCCAUGUAAGAGGAAGAGGGGAAGCAGAGAAUCACUAAGCUUUUUACUUAUAAAGUAGGUGAAAUUCAAUUCUGGUAUCCCUGGGGUAUAAACAAAAUGUUGGUAUGCACAUUUCUGGGAUUUUCAGUGAAGAUGGUAGGUAAGAAAGGAAGAAACGCUUCUUGGCUUUUAUACUUCAUAGAGGCAACAGAGAAGAACAUAAAGAUCUUGGGAGAGAUCAAACUGGAAGUCAAGAACUUCAAAACAAGAAGUAUGGAAUGCAAAGAAGGGUGGCCCUUGUGAGAAGCUACCUAGACAGCUGCACAACUCUUAGAUAGAAACUAGCUCAUGUCAUAUAUAUACGAGGAUUCAGUCUGUAGGCCAAGUAAGGUCAGACUGCCCUGCAGGAUCUUAUGUAGCUAAAUAAAUCCUUCCACUCCAGUUAAUUCCUUGCAACUCUAGUCAUGUAAGUUGUAAGCAUUGUGGCCUUUCUUCUGCAGUUGACAGAGAAAAGUAGGCAGGGCUGAAGGCAAAUGUUUCCUGACCUGAGAAUAAGAUCAUCAGGAUGCUGGAAACUACUGGAAAAGACAUGAGGAAUAGCUAUUUGUGACAAAUGACAGUGUGUGUAGCAAAGAAAUUGCCAAUAGUGGUGUGGAGGCUGGCUGGAUUUCUUAGGUAGUUAAUAGAAAGUUAAGUGAGAAAUGGCUGAGUGUUGCACAUAGCCAGUGGGGAUUAUUGAAGAUCUCUAGAGGAGAGGAGGCUUGCCAGGCUAGCAGGACAUAGAUAUUAGUUGAGAUACAGAGGUAAUGAUGUACUGAAUUUGGAUUCAGAUGUAGCAAAACAGAGACCAAAGAAGAAAAACUAAGGAUGGGUUGUGUAUUUGGGAAAAGACUGAGACAGAGAAAGGGAGAAUGAAGAGUGACCAAAAUGAGGGCAAAAAAAAAUGGGAAGGGCAAGCUGUUCAGUUUAUGAGGUGUGUGUUUGCCAAAGGCAUCUACCAGACAGUCCUACUCAAGCUCGCUGCAGCCAGAAUAAGAAAGGAAAUCAAAUCCCUUGAUCUGACCAUACCAGGAGUCAAACUUCAGUGGCAAGGAAGACUGAACUGGGAGAAUACCUUCUGUUUAAUUAUUUCUGAAUGUUUGCAAGCUUUUUACUGAUAAUCUCCUACAAAUGUGGCUGAUUUCUGUUUUAUUUCAUGACUGGAAGUGAUCUGCCUCUGUUAGAACAGUUAUGCAUCUAUCAAUCUCCCAUGGUAAUAUGUUGACAAUCUCUGUUUUUAGACCCCUAUUACAAGUUUUUUCUCCAAAUGGUAUGUUCUGUCUGCGUAUAAUGCUUCCAUCUAAUUCUCAUCUACUUACACUUGUUUAGUUGAAAUGAAAAGUGUAGCCUUUGCCCUUAGCCAUUGCUUAUCUUCCUUUUUACAAUCUGAAUAAAAUGUGUUUAUGCAUGCAGCACAGUAAAUUAAAAAGCCUUUCUUUUGUAGAGUAGUGGUAAUAUCUUUAUUAAUUUACAUAGGUAUUCUAAUUCUAUUGGGAAAAAACUGUUUAUUUUUUUUUUUCAGUCUUACUAGAUCUGUUUCCUUCUGACAACAUAAACUUCCAAGAGAAGUAUUGUAAAGCAGAGUAACAUCUGUUAUUUUACAUGUUCACAUAGCCAUUUCUUUUUGGAGUUUCCAAUAUUCUAUAUUCUUCAGAUGCAGGAUGGUUUAAUAACAAUUUCAAUCAUAAGCUCGUAUAGCCCUGCACCCUACCCCCUGCCCCUCACUGUCAUGGUAGCUUUUCCCUACUGUGUGACACUGCCCAGCCCUGGGCGCAUGGUCAAUCAAGUCUGGCAUGUUACAUUUAUUACAAUGUUUUCCACAUAGUGAUGGAAUGAGUUUGACUGAUAUAGGAUUUCUGAAACCAGUGACCCAGUUGCUGUCGUCAUGAAACCAAAGGUAGCUUUCCACAAAGCGUUGCAGAGGAUUUGAGGAGUGGUGGCAGAUGUUAAUUGAGUAUAAAACAAAAUUUAAUGCAAAAUACUAAAACUUUGAGGUGUUGAAUCAGUACAGAGGGGAACUUUGUUUAAGUUUAAUCUAGAAGUUACCAUGAUGAGUUAUACAGAAGUCAGUGUCAGAAGUGAAAACUCCUGUUGACUUCUAUGUUCAGUCUUCAACAUACUUUUCUUCUGUCAGAAAUGUACUGCAGUGUUUUUCAGUGAAUUAUAGGAUACUCUGUUUCUGGAAAGCCAGCUGCUGUUACCAGUUAGUGAAAGUAUGAUCAAGCAUUCAUAUAUAUUUUAGAACCACAUAAAUAAGAUAUGGAAAGCCUCUGUAUUGAAUCAAUAGUAUGAUUUUCUGACAAAACUACAGCUGGCAGUCUAUUAAUAUAAAAGAUGGAGAAAACCUAGAAAUUUAAAAUGACCUGAGGUUUCUUAGUGAAAGUACUAUUUUAUUUAUAGAUUACUUUGCAAUUUUAACUUUUUAGUUUUAGAAGUUAAUUCUUCCAAGAUGUAUGAGAGCACAGGUUAUAGCUGCCCUGAGGGAAUUCAUUAGGGGAAUCUUACGUAACCAGCCUUGCAUCAAACAGUAUGUGGAGUUAUCAGUGCAAAGCAGAUCGCUUUCAAGAAACAAAGGCCACACAUCAAAGUGUAAAAUGAAUCCUGUGUAUUUUCACAGAUGUGCUCUGUACUGUGCUGCUACAAUGAGUAGCACAUACUAGCUUUGUACAGCUACGUUUUAAUAUCUAACUGCUUCCCCAGACUAUUCUUUUUUUUUUUCUUUACAAAUAAAUACAAGAAUAUUUGUUCUCAAGUUAAGUAUUUUAAGUUUUUUUUUGUAAAUGUAAGAA